rnacentral:rRNA from 1 species
AGUGAACGCUGGCGGUAGGCCUAACACAUGCAAGUCGAACGGCAGCACAGUAAGAGCUUGCUCUUACGGGUGGCGAGUGGCGGACGGGUGAGGAAUACAUCGGAAUCUACUUUUUCGUGGGGAUAACGUAGGGAAACUUACGCUAAUGCCGCAUACGACCUACGGGUGAAAGCAGGGGAUCUUCGGACCUUGCGCGAUUGAAUGAGCCGAUGUCGGAUUAGCUAGUUGGCGGGGUAAAGGCCCACCAAGGCGACGAUCCGUAGCUGGUCUGAGAGGAUGAUCAGCCACACUGGAACUGAGACACGGUCCAGACUCCUACGGGAGGCAGCAGUGGGGAAUAUUGGACAAUGGGCGCAAGCCUGAUCCAGCCAUACCGCGUGGGUGAAGAAGGCCUUCGGGUUGUAAAGCCCUUUUGUUGGGAAAGAAAAGCAGCAGGUUAAUACCCCGCUGUUCUGACGGUACCCAAAGAAUAAGCACCGGCUAACUUCGUG